UGGGGAAUAUUGGACAAUGGGCGAAAGCCUGAUCCAGCAACGCCGCGUGGGUGAUGAAGGCUUUCGGGUCGUAAAGCCCUGUCAGCGGGGAAGAAAAACCGAGAUUCAAAUAGGGUCUCGGCUUGACGGUACCCGCGGAGGAAGCACCGGCUAACUCCGUGCCAGCAGCCGCGGUAAAACGGAGGGUGCGAGCGUUGUUCGGAAUUACUGGGCGUAAAGCGCGUGCAGGCGGUUUUUUAAGUUUCGUGUGAAAUCCCCCGGCUUAACCGGGGAACUGCGCGGAAAACUGAAAAACUUGAAUACGGGAGAAGAGGGCGGAAUUCCCAGUGUAGAGGUGAAAUUCGUAGAGAUUGGGAGGAACACCGGUGGCGAAAGCGGCUCUCUAGACCGAUAUUGACGCUCAUACGCGAGAGCGUGGGUAGCAAACAG
rnacentral:rRNA from 1 species